rnacentral:rRNA from 1 species
GGUGAGUAACGCGUAGGUAACCUGCCGACGGGAGGGGGAUAACCACGAGAAAUCGGGGAUAAUACCGCAUGAGGCUUCUUGAGUAUAUUAAGAAGUGAAAGCCUCGCAAGAGGCGCCUGUUGAGGGGCCCGCGUUCGAUUAGCUUGUUGGUGGGGUAAUGGCCUACCAAGGCGAAGAUCGAUAGCUGGUCUGAGAGGAUGAUCAGCCACACUGGGACUGAGAUACGGCCCAGACUCCUACGGGAGGCAGCAGCAAGGAAUCUUGCGCAAUGGGCGAAAGCCUGACGCAGCAACGCCGCGUGAGUGAAGAAGGCCUUCGGGUCGUAAAGCUCUUUUGUCAGGGAAGAGAACGGACGGUACCUGACGAAUGAGCCUCGGCUAACUACGUGCCAGCAGCCGCGGUAAAACGUAGGAGGCGAGCGUUAUCCGGAAUUACUGGGCGUAAAGGGCUUGUAGGCGGCUAAUCAAGUCAUGUGUGAUAUCUCCCGGCUCAACUGGCAGGUGACAUGUGAAACUGCUUUGGCUUGAGUGCAGCAUGGGAAAGUGGAACUCCCGGUGUAGUGGUGACGUGCGUAGAUGUCGGGAGGAACACCAGUGGCGAAGGCGGCUUUCUGGGCUGUAACUGACGCUGAGGAGCGAAAGCAUGGGAGCAAACCGGAUUAGAUACCCUGGUAGUCGACGCCGUAAACGAUGGAUACUAGGUAUGGGGAGUAUCGACCCUCUCUGUGCCGACGCUAACGCUAUAAGUAUCCCGCAUGGGACUACGAGCCGUAAGGCU